UACGUAGGGUGCAAGCGUUAAUCGGAAUUACUGGGCGUAAAGCGUGCGCAGGCGGUUAUGUAAGACAGAUGUGAAAUCCCCGGGCUCAACCUGGGAACUGCAUUUGUGACUGCAUAGCUAGAGUACGGUAGAGGGGGAUGGAAUUCCGCGUGUAGCAGUGAAUGCGUAGAGAUGUGGAGGAAUACCGAUGGCGAAGGCAGCCCCCUGGGCCAAUACUGACGCUCAUGCACGAAAGCGUGGGGAGCAAACAGG
rnacentral:rRNA from 1 species